CGGUGUUUAACUGGCGUGAUGUGGGACGUCCUACCGGUGGGCUUAGCCUCGCGAGGGGCGGCCCAACUAAUAUCCCGUCGCGGUGCUCUUUACUGAGUGUCGAGUCGGGCCGGUACGUUUACUUUGAACAAAUUAGAGUGCUUAAAGCAGGCUAUCCUCGCCUGAAUACUGCGUGCAUGGAAUAAUGGAAUAGGGCCUCGGUUCUAUUUUGUUGGUUUUCGGAACCCCGAGGUAAUGAUUAAUAGGGACAGAUGGGGGCAUUCGUAUUGCGACGUUAGAGGUGAAAUUCUUGGAUCGUCGCAAGACGGACAGAAGCGAAAGCAUUUGCCAAAAAUGUUUUCAUUAAUCAAGAACGAAAGUUAGAGGUUCGAAGGCGAUCAGAUACCGCCCUAGUUCUAACCAUAAACGAUGCCAGCUAGCGAUCCGCCGAAGUUCCUCCGAUGACUCGGCGGGCAGCUUCCGGGAAACCAAAGCUUUUGGGUUCCGGGGGAAGUAUGGUUGCAAAGCUGAAACUUAAAGGAAUUGACGGAAGGGCACCACCAGGAGUGGAGCCUGCGGCUUAAUUUGACUCAACACGGGAAACCUCACCAGGCCCAGACACCGGAAGGAUUGACAGAUUGAUAGCUCUUUCUUGAUUCGGUGGGUGGUGGUGCAUGGCCGUUCUUAGUUGGUGGAGCGAUUUGUCUGGUUAAUUCCGAUAACGAACGAGACUCUAGCCUGCUAAAUAGGCGUACCUUAUGGUAUCGCGAAGGCCCCCGGCUUCGGCCGGUGGGUUUUUACUACCAACGUACAAACAAAUCUUCUUAGAGGGACAGGCGG
rnacentral:rRNA from 1 species